rnacentral:rRNA from 1 species
GACGAACGCUGGCGGCGUGCUUAACACAUGCAAGUCGAACGAAGAGCGAUGGAAGCUUGCUUCUAUCAAUCUUAGUGGCGAACGGGUGAGUAACGCGUAAUCAACCUGCCCUUCAGAGGGGGACAACAGUUGGAAACGACUGCUAAUACCGCAUACGAUCUAAUCUCGGCAUCGAGGAUAGAUGAAAGGUGGCCUCUACAUGUAAGCUAUCACUGAAGGAGGGGAUUGCGUCUGAUUAGCUAGUUGGAGGGGUAACGGCCCACCAAGGCGAUGAUCAGUAGCCGGUCUGAGAGGAUGAACGGCCACAUUGGGACUGAGACACGGCCCAGACUCCUACGGGAGGCAGCAGUGGGGAAUCUUCCGCAAUGGACGAAAGUCUGACGGAGCAACGCCGCGUGAGUGGUGACGGCCUUCGGGUUGUAAAGCUCUGUUAAUCGGGACGAAAGGCCUUCUUGCGAAUAGUGAGAAGGAUUGACGGUACCGGAAUAGAAAGCCACGGCUAACUACGU